rnacentral:lncRNA from 1 species
UGCAUUAGGUUCAUGGCUGAGUCGGUUCGUUUUUUAAAAAAUUAAAUUGACUUAUUUGUGUGUGUGUGUGUGUGAGAGAGAGAGAGAGAGAGAGAGAGAGAGAGAGAGAGAGAAAAGUUGAACUUUUGGGAGUUGGUGCUCUCCCUUCACCCUGGGAGGUCUUCAGGCUUGGGGGUCAAGUGCCCUACCCACUGAGCCACCUCACCAGUGCCAGCAUUGUCUUUCUGUUAUUAUUGUUACUUGUUCUGUGCCUUGACAAUCUCACAAGUAAUAGGAAAUAUUAUCUCUGGGCUGCAGUUAUAGUUUAGCGACAGAGUUUAUCUAGUAUGGUUUCAGCAACACACAUAUACCACAUACACACUACACACACAUACACAACCCCACACACCACACAUACACCAUACACACAUACAUCAUACACACACAUAUACCACACACACCAUACCGUACAUACACACCACACACACACACACACAACCCCCCCCACACACACACACAGAGGAGUUGGCUUUUUAUAAAGUAUACUUCCUCGAAAAUUUAGCUAACUUGUGUUACAAUGGGAUAAGAGAAGUGUAAAUUUGUGUUUCUUUUUAAGUCAAACAAUAUGACUCAGAUGCUAAAAGUGACAGAGCCCAUUCAAUUCCUAUACAGUAGGGAGAAAAAGCAAUUUGUAAAAUCAUUUCAAGCAGCCAGGAAAGAUAACAUUAACAAACCCACCUUUUUGAUGGGAAUAACAUUGACAUGGUAGCAGCCUGAGGAUGUGAGGUGGGUGGGGGUGCAGUUAUACAGUGAGACAAUUACCAGUCACACACACCACACCCACAUACACACACCCACACCACACCGCGAGCACACACACACACACACACCACUAACUGCAGACUACAAAGGCCUCCUGCUGGAGAAGAUCACAAGUCUGUGGGAAGUCUAAUUAUCCCACCCCCACCCCUACCUGCCAAUCUUUU